rnacentral:rRNA from 1 species
UACGGGGGGGGGCAAGCGUUGUUCGGAAUUACUGGGCGUAAAGGGCUCGUAGGCGGCCAACUAAGUCGGAUGUGAAAUCCCCAAGCUUAACUUGGGAACUGCAUCCGAUACUGGAUGGCUUGAAUCCGGGAGAGGGAUGCAGAAUUCCAGGUGUAGCGGUGAAAUGCGUAGAUAUCUGGAGGAAUACCGGUGGCGAAGGCGGCAUCCUGGACCAUUACUGACGCUGAGGCGCGAAAGCUAGGGGAGCAAACGGG